GACAGGAUGGCCGAGUGGUUAAGGCGGUAGUUUUGAAUUAAAUCGAAUAGCUACUUCACUAUGUGAGCAUGAGUUCAAACCUCAUUCCUGUCG